UUUGCUGUUGGCAGUGUCUCCUGACACUGUGAGCCGGUCAGUGAUUGGCUUCCUUUGUUAGAAAGUUCAGCUGAGUCAGAUGAUGCCACACUGGUGAUGUGGAACUUGGAAGGUGUGAAGAUCCCUGGUGCCUAAGUUCCUGUACCCACCCCCGACCCCUGCAGUGGCCCAGAGGAGGAGCAGACAAUGGACGUAUGGACAGUUGCAGAGUGAGGCUUGCUAGGUAAGAGAGAACCAUUCAUGGGGAUGUAUCUUGCUACUGGCCUUUGUGGUUCGAAACUCUGCUUUCUAGAGUGACCCAGCAAGCCUUGGAAAUCCGCUAAGAAAAGAUUCAAAGGUGUCUCCGUGGCUCUACUGCUGCAUUCUUUCGGAUAGAGAACAAUAAGAUGUGGAAUAAACAGUCAUCACUAGCAGAACAGAUGCGAGAUGCAGUUUCCAGAGCAAGGUUCUUAGGAGAUCAGCCUCCGAGAAAAGAAGGAAAGGCAACAGAUUGGUUGGGAGAAGACACAAACCCUGAUGCCAGUUUGCUAAGGCUUGGCCAACCUGACUGGAAGAGAUGAAGGGAAUAUUCCCUACCAACACUACCUUGGAGGGGGCAUCUCCUUCACUCAGAGAAGCUGGACUACCUUGUGAAGAGUGUGGGGAUUAGCUAAUGGUUGAAGAAGAUCUGUUGUUUACAGUUACCAUCGUGUGUCCUUCUUUGAAGCAGAAGCUGGACAGAGACUAUGGAUAUGAAACAUUGGGGAGGACAUAGGGAAACCCAUUACUUAAGAGGAGGAAAGGGUUUGUACACACAAAAUCUGUCCUGAACCAUAUUCAUGUAAUGACCCUGCAAGGUGAUUUGAGAGACCAUGGGUUUCUUUUCUGAGGCUAUUUUCUAUAUUUUAUAAACAGAAUACUAGAGGCUAGGUAAAUUAUAAAGGAAAGGCUUAUUUAGUUCGGAAGUUGUGGUGGUUGAAAAGUCUGCAGAGCAUGACAUUGACAUUUGGUAAUGGGUCCCUGGCUGCAACCCAACAUGACAAAGAAAUAGGGGAAGGAGGUAUAUGCAAGGAGAGAGGUAACCUGGUAAAAACGGAAAUGAGAGGAAGGAGG
rnacentral:sRNA from 1 species